UAGUGAUUGCAGUGCUAGUUAAAACUGCAGUAGGAUAGUCCUCCUCACAGGCGACUGAAUCAGCGAAGACCAUGCUUGGUGAAUAGCACUUGUUUGAUCUUUGGGAGUAGGUCACAUGAGAGGAGAGCUGAAUUGCUCAUGGGAGAUAAAGAUAUGUGAUGAUGUACCAUAUCUCCAAGAGGGCAGGCUUCCUCUCCUCCUCAUUCAUCUCUACCAACUUCAUCACAUCCGAGUCUCCUACUCACUGGAUAUUCAGGAACACUGCCUUUCCCUGCCAACUUAAUAUUAACUUUACACUAAAAAACGAAUAGAUAAUUAUACUGUUCGUAAUAAAGAAAAAUUAUCAGCAGCAGUAAAGGACUGUGAAACCUGAAAUACAUUGAAAUGUUUAAGAUUUUAUUUUCUAACAAAACCGUCUCAGUAUCAUUUUACAAAAAUAUUUUCUGCUUCGACACAACAGGCCAACAUGACAAAGUUGUUCACCGGAUCACAUUACUGAAAGAA